rnacentral:rRNA from 1 species
AGCAGCCGCGGUAAUUCCAGCUCCAAUAGCGUAUAUUAAAGUUGUUGCAGUUAAAAAGCUCGUAGUUGAAUUUCGGGGUUAGUACGCUGGUCGUGCCUUCGGUAUGUACUGGUGUUACUGGUUCCUACCUUCUGACGAAUCGUCAUGUCAUUCAUUCGGUGUGGCGGGGAAUCAGGACUGUUACUUUGAAAAAUUAGAGUGUUUAAAGCAGGCUCGCGCUUGAAUACAUUAGCAUGGAAUAAUGAAAUAGGACGUUCGAUCCUAUUUUGUUGGUUUCUAGGAUUGACGUAAUGAUUAAUAGGGAUAGUUGGGGGCAUUAGUAUUCAAUUGUCAGAGGUGAAAUUCUUGGAUUUAUUGAAGACUAACUACUGCGAAAGCAUUUGCCAAGGAUGUUUUCAUUAAUCAAGAACGAAAGUUAGGGGAUCGAAGACGAUCAGAUACCGUCGUAGU